GGGUACGUAACUCAGAUGGAUAGAGUAGCGACCUUCUAAGUCGCCUGCCGCAGGUUCGAGUCCUGCCGUACCCG
rfam:Crinalium epipsammum PCC 9333, complete genome.